rnacentral:misc_RNA from 1 species
UUUUUUGAAAGAAUUUGCAUUAUCUUUGGAAUUUCAAUCGUUUCAUUGCGCGGAUAAUUCUCGCAAUUAUCGACGACUCGUUAUUUUACAAAUCCAAAAAUAUUCUUUUGUACUUCGUUUUUACAACAUAUAUGUAGAAGAUAAGAUAAGAUUUUAAUUUUUAAGAAAAACAAGAAAUUAUUUGUUUUAUCAAUCAUUUGUAAUAAAAAACAUCCAGUUUUAAUGCUACAAAUAAAAAAUUACAAUCAACUGAUAUUGAUCUUCAUACAGUAUUAGAACUAUAUAAUGGCCUUGAAAAUUACUUG